UACGGGGGGGGCAAGCGUUGUUCGGAAUUACUGGGCGUAAAGGGCUCGUAGGUGGCCAACUAAGUCAGACGUGAAAUCCCCAGGCUCAACUUGGGAACUGCGUCUGAUACUGGAGGGCUUGAGUAUGGGAGAGGGAUGUAGAAUUCCAGGUGUAGCGGUGAAAUGCGUAGAUAUCUGGAGGAACACCGGUGGCGAAGGCGGCAUCCUGGACCGGCAUUGACGCUGAGGCGCGAAAGCUAGGGGAGCAAACGGG
rnacentral:rRNA from 1 species